AGGGAGACCACUGAGGAGAAGUUCUAUGAGUUCACGGGUGACCUCAGCUGUCAAGUUCCUGGAUAUGGCAACAGACCAGAGAACCUGAAUGACACCAUUACUCUGGAGCCUUGCCCUGCUGCAUCAGCUGAAACAUCAAGCCAUCCACGUCCACCCCUCCUCCUCCACGUCCACCACUAUGUACAACCAUUACUCCAGCUCUUUGGUCUCACACUUACAGAUUCCUUGGGAAAGAUUUCCACUCCGAUUGUCGCAUGCAAUCACAAGAGGGGACAGAGCUCAUCCAGAGGACAGGAGAAGUCAGCUAAUUGUGAUAGAUGAUGAAUGAAUUAUCCCUAAGUAACUCAUUAUUUCAAAUCACAACUCAAUGUUACUGUAUGUUACUAUUUAUUGUGGCAUGUUUUAAGGUUUUUUGUAAGGAUAAACCCUGAAGAGGGAACAAAAUGUACCUCCAAGGUUGGGACAAGCAGAAAGACUGGGACCACUGUGAAGCCAAAGAUGAUCCAUGGCCCAUGCUUUCUGGACAUUUACACAAGACGAACAACAAUGGAGACAAGCUCUCUCGCCAUCUUGCAAGACGCUGUCUCUGUCCAAUAGGUUUUUUGAGUGCAA